rnacentral:tRNA from 1 species
GGUAAGGUGGCCGAGAUGCAGGCGGCGGGUUGUAGCCCCGCGUACAGGGAGUGGUCCCCUCCUUAUCA